CAGUAGCCACGGGAAUACAGAGGGUGCAAGCGUUAAUCGGAAUUACUGGGCGUAAAGCGCGCGUAGGUGGUUUGUUAAGUCGGAUGUGAAAUCCCCGGGCUCAACCUGGGAACUGCAUCCGAAACUGGCAAGCUAGAGUAUGGUAGAGGGUAGUGGAAUUUCCUGUGUAGCGGUGAAAUGCGUAGAUAUAGGAAGGAACACCAGUGGCGAAGGCGACUACCUGGACUGAUACUGACACUGAGGUGCGAAAGCGUGGGGAGCAAACAGGAUUAGAUACCCGGGUAGUCCCUGUCUCUUAUAC
rnacentral:rRNA from 1 species